UCACUGUCAAAUGAUGAGUGGGAAAUCUGCUCCGAACUCUGUUCGAUUUUGAAACCGUUUGAGCAGGUUUCGAGGCAGCUCAGUGCAGAGGAGUACCCAACUGGCAGCUUGGUUAUAGUCCUGACACGUGGACUUCUGGCAGUAUGUGACGAAAUAGCCAAAAUGCAGUUACAUGAACUUUCAAUGAAAGUUGUUGAGGCAUUAAAAGAAGGGCUUACAAACCGGUUUUCGAAUCUUGAGCAGAGCAAGUCCAUUGCCCUUGCUACUCUGCUGGAUACACGUUUCAAAUUGCUGGCAUUUCAGAACCAGGCAGCAGCAGACAACACAAAGAAACAAUUAAUUAAUAUUGUUGCCCAGAAACUGGAAAAAUGUAGGCCAGUAGGUAUUCAGCCUUCACAAUCUGUUGAGCCAAAUAAUUUGGCAACUGAGUCCUUAUCUGUGUGGGGCAUAUUUGAUAAGUUAGUGAAACAUGCACAGCCACAGGGCACAGUACAGUCAUGUGCUAUCGUAGAGGUUCAAAGGUACAUUGACAGCUCAGUCAUCAGUAGAAAUGAGGAUCCUCUGGCAUGGUGGAGACAAAAUCAAUACAUAUACCCAACCAUUGCAAAAGUAGUGAAAGAGAGGUUUAAUGUUGUAGCAACUUCUGUGCCUUGUGAGAGGGUCUUCUCAAAAACUGGACAUUUAAUAAAUGACAGAAGAACCCGCCUCAAGCCAUCGAAUAUAGAAAAACUAAUAUUUCUGAAUGCCAAUGGUACCUGUGAUUAGUGCUGAAAAUUCUGGACCCGUGUGAGGUUUGCUUCCAUGGAGGUAACUAGGCACUUUCAACACAAGCGAACAAGACCACACAACUGUAUGAUGCCUAUCAAUAUUACAACAUCUAACUGGGCACUUUCAACACAAGUGAACAAGACCACACAACUGUAUGAUGCCUAGCAAAAUG